rnacentral:rRNA from 1 species
AUUGAACGCUGGCGGCAGGCCUAACACAUGCCAGUCGAACGGUAACAGGAAGAAGCUUGCUUCUUUGCUGACGAGUGGCGGACGGGUGAGUAAUGUCUGGGAAACUGCCUGAUGGAGGGGGAUAACUACUGGAAACGGUAGCUAAUACCGCAUAACGUCGCAAGACCAAAGAGGGGGACCUUCGGGCCUCUUGCCAUCGGAUGUGCCCAGAUGGGAUUAGCUAGUAGGUGGGGUAACGGCUCACCUAGGCGACGAUCCCUAGCUGGUCUGAGAGGAUGACCAGCCACACUGGAACUGAGCCACGGUCCAGAGUCCUACGGGAGGCAGCAGUGGGGAAUAUUGCACAAUGGGCGCAAGCCUGAUGCAGCCCUGCCGCGUGUAUGAAGAGGGCCUUCGGGUUGUAAAGUACUUUCAGCGGGGAGGAAGGGAGUAAAGUUAAUACCUUUGCUCAUUGACGUUACCCGCAGAAGAAGCACCGGCUAACUCCGUG